rnacentral:rRNA from 1 species
CCUACGGGUGGCAGCAGUCGAGAAUCAUUCACAAUGGGCGAAACCCUGAUGGUGCGACGCCGCGUGGGGGAAUGAAGCCCUUCGGAUUGUAAACCCCUGUCAUGUGGGAGCAAGUUAAAAAGAUUGUACCACCCCAGGAAGUGCCCGCUAACUCUGGGCCAGCAGCCGCCGUAAUACCGAGGUCUCAAGCGUUGUUCGGGAUCACUGGGGGUAAAGGGUGCGUGAGUUGUGUCGUAAGGCGUGUGGGAAAGACUCGGGGCUAACCCUCGGACGGCACAUGAUACUGCGAGACUAGAGUGAGGGAGGAGGAGGCGGAAUGCGCGGUGUAGCAGUGAAAUGCAUAGAUAUCGAGAAGAACACUGGUGGCGAAGGCAGGUUCCUGGAGAUUAACUGACGCUGAGGCACGAAGGCGAGGGGAGCGAAAGGGAUUAGAUACCCGUGUAGUC